UGUCCAUGGCAUGUGGAAGUUCUCAGGCCAGGGACUGAACCCGUGCCACAUCUAUAACCAGAGCCACGGCAGUGACAACACUGGAUCCUUAACUUGCUGAGCCACCAGGGAACUCCAUAAGUUAAAGCUACAUCUUUCAUAUGAUCCAGCCAUUCCUCCCUACUUACCCAAGAGAAAAGAAAGUAUAUGUACAAAGAAUUUUUUUUCAUUGUUUAUAAAGUUUUAUUGAAGUAUAGUUGAUUUACAGUGUUGUGAUCAUUUCUGCUGUAUGUGAGCAGUUAAACAAACUGUGGUAUAUCCACUCAAGACUACUCGGCAAUGUAAAGGAAUAAAUGAUUGAUCCACCCUACAAUAUAGAGGAAUCUGCAAAAACAUUGGGUUGCAUGAAAGAAGGCAGAUGAAAAGAGAGUACAGAUUUUAUGACCUCACUUACAUAAAGCUUUAGAAAAUGCGAGCUAUAGUGACAAAAAGCUGACCAAUAUUUUCUGAGCACAGGGAGACAGGGAGGGUUGGGAGAAAGAACCUAUUAGUGGGCACCUACUAGGAUGAAGGAUACAUGAAGAUACAGUCAUUGCAUUAAUCAUGGGGAUGGUUUCAUGGGUCUUACACACAGCAAAACAUAUCACACUACCUUUUAAAUAGGUGCAAUUUAUUGUAUGCCAAUUACAUCUUAACAUAGCUUUCAAAAAUUAGGGCAAAUAAUAUUGGGAAAAAAUAGAAAACAGAUCAUCCCUUUACUGAUUUAACAGUCAUCUAUGUAGUCAUUUAAAUGAAUAUUUUACACAUUUAUUUUAUUCAAUUAAUUAAUUUUACUCAUUUAAAUGAAUAAAACAGAUCAUCCGUUUAUCCAUUUAAAUGAGUAAAUCAUCCACUUAUUCAUUUAACAAACAGUCUUUGAGAUGCGAGGACUGGUAGACAUGGCCCUUGUGUCAGGUCUCAUAUAAACGAAUCAGUAAGAGUGAGAAAGUACUCCACAGAACUAUCAGACUUCAGAAACUUCUGAAAGAAGACAAAUUAGUAGUCAUUAGGAUGUCCAGCCUUACUAAUAAUCAAAGAAACGCAAAUUUCAAAAAUAAAAUGUCUUUGCCUACACAUUGGUGAAAACAACAAAAAAAGAUAAAACAAUACACUCUUGCAAAAAAUCUGCAGAGGGUGGCAUGCAAACUGUCCAGGGGCUAUUUUUGCAAUAUGCACACUGAGCCUUAAAGUUGUACAUUCUUUUUGCUCUACACCGUCCUCCCACUUCAGAAAAUCAUCAUGAUAACAUGCAAAGCUAUGUACUGCCGUCUUGACUCUCAUCCUCCUCCUUACCUUUAAAUUUUUUUUUUCAGGGUGCCAUUAAAGAUACAUACAAAAUAUAAAGCCCUUAAGUCACGAUAUAUUUUUGUAAUAAAACUAUUACAAACAAUGUUUCUUAAAAUAUUUAAAAUUAUGAAAAAUGCUUAGCACCCAUUUUUGUGUGAGAGGGGUUGGUUAGCGUGGUAAGGUUCAAUUCCCUCUCCCAUACACAUGAAAAAAACUUUCAAAGAUUAAAAAUGGCUAUCUCUGAGUGAGGAAUUAAGUUGCUAUUUAAAUUGCCUUUUUAUGCUCAUGGAUAUAUUGCUAAGUUUCCCCAAUGAGCUCUGCAACUGAAAACAAAACAAAACAAAAAUCAAGUUUUUAUUUUAAUUGCUUUGGAAUGCCAUUAAAAUAAUUUCACCUAUAUACCCCCAGUAUCUUGGUAUUUAAAGUAGAAAAUCACUCAAAUGGAGUCUGUUAUCUUCGGCUACAUAACGAUUGUACUUAAUUCUAUUGUAAUUAUGAAAAAUGAAAAAAUUGUAUAAUAAAUACACUUAGUGCUUAUUAAAGAGAAUACCUGAAUAAUUACAAUACUGCAUCAUUGCUUGGGCUGGAAAUAGAAGGCCAUUAUAUAAAUGUUAUAGAGGAAAAGAUGCAUUAAAAAGUCAAAUAAGAUCUAUCAGUAUUUUGCAAAGAUCACGCAAGCAGACAACAGGCAUCUUUACUCAAGGUACCAUGACAUAGCACUGGCAGCCACUGUGUCUUUCACAGUCUAUAGAAUUUCUAAUAAUUAUAACCAAGCUUUUGUCACUUGAAUGCUGAAAAGUACCUUAAGUAGAAAAAUCUACUGGAAAGGAACAAAGAUGAAAGAAUGCAGUGACUGAAUGCCAUUGAUUAUAAGACUUAAUAUCGUAUGUUUUAUAAAUCACUCACACGGUUACUUUUAGUUUUGGUUAAUAUGUCAUAUUUAAAUGGGGGUGGAUUAGAAAUGAAAAUGAGGUGAAUUGGUUCCUUGAGAAGGGACAGCUUGAUGGGGCUGGAAAUGGAGAUCUUCCGUUUAUUCCUGGUCGAGGAAACCUAAGGCACACAUUGCUUCAUCUUUGCUUUGCUGCCUUGACAGGGUUUCUUAAUAUAGAUUAAGAGAUCUUACAGAAUAAAUGAAAAUCAUUUGCUCCAUGCUCAGUAAGCAUGUUAACAUUAACCUACAGCUGAGUGUGUGUUUAAGUGUGUGCUC
rnacentral:lncRNA from 1 species